AGCCCGCGCAUGUCGGGGCCGCCUCGCGGCUAAACAUGCACCUCCCUGUUGGACUUGCCCGGGCCUUUGUGCCCGGGUUUUUUU
rnacentral:ncRNA from 1 species